AAUAAUCAAAACUAAAGUAGUGUGUCAGUUAAAAGUAAUAAAAUGUAUGAUUAAUUUCAUACAGAUCCUUGCAAAUAUAAUGAACGAUAAAUAUAUCCCUACAAAGUUUAACUUUCAUAUAUUGUCCUGCAAAAAUUCUAAUAUUUUCAAAUAUAUGUUUCUGGUUUGUUAUCGUUAGAGAAUCGUUUAUAUCCCUUCAAAAAUCAUAACAGUAUAAUAUAAGAGGGGUAAAAAACUAAUCAAAAUUAAGUAUUUAACUUAUAGUUAACUAAAUUUUUCUAACGGAUUCUAACGGUAGAGAUAUAUUUGAAAACAUCAUAAUUUUUACAGGAACAACACAUGAAAGUUAAACUUUGUAGGAAUAUAUUUAUCAUUCACUAUGUUCGUAAGAAUAUGUAUGAAAUUAAACCAAAGUAAUAAAAUGUAAGAGCCUCUUUC
rnacentral:lncRNA from 1 species